rnacentral:tRNA from 1 species
GAAGGUAUAGCUCAGUGGUAGAGUCUGUACUUAGCGUGCAUGAAGUCCUGGGUUCAAUCCCCAUAUCUCCA